rnacentral:lncRNA from 1 species
GACCAGCCUGACCAACAUGGUGAAAUCCCAUCUCUACUAAAAAUACAAAAAUUAGACAGGUGUGGUGGAGGGCACCUGUAAUCCCAGCUACUCAGGAGGCUGAAGCAGGAGAAUCACUUGAACCGGGGAGGCAGAGGUUGCACUGAGCCAAGAUCAUGGCACUGCACUCCAGCCCGGGCAAGAGAGAGAGACUCUGUCUCAAAAAGAAAUACCUGAGACUGGGCAAUUUACAAAAGAAAGAGGUUUAAUGGAGUUACAGUUCCAUGUAGCUGGGGAGGCCUCACAAUCAUGGCAGAAAGCAAAGAGGAGCAAGUCACAUCUUGCAUGGAUGGUGGCAGGCAAAGGGAGAGCUUGUGUCCGGAAACUCCAGUUUUUAGACCAUCAGAUCUUGUGAAACCCACGUACUAUCAUGAGAACAGCCCAGGAAAGACGCACCUCCAGGAUUCAACCAUCCUCCACCAGCUCCCUCCCACAACACGUGGGAAUUAUGGGAGCUACAAGAUGAGGUUUGGGUGGGGACACAGAGCCAGACCCUAUCAACACCUCUCUCCUUCCGUUUCUCCCCUUGUCUCUCUCUCCUCCUCCCCGCCAUGUCUCUCCAUCUGUCUGUCCCUCCCCUUGUCUCUCCUCCAUCUCUCCUGUCUCUCCCCAUCUCUCCUGUCUCUCCAUCUCUCUCCCCCCUCUCCUGUCUCUCCC